GACGAUAAUACAUCGUCGGAUAAUCGAGAAAAUGAAAUGAAAAGGAAUACAUUUAAUUGGAAUCGCGAUAAUUUAUGUUGACGAAGCAAUUAUCAUAACGGAAGUUGUAUCGAGUUUUAUGUGUCGUUUCGUCAUAUACCAUGUUGUAUCUCUACGCUUUGCAGUAGCGCGAUAAAAUAUACAUGUAUCUGCAAUCGAUUUCAAUUUUAUAGGUUUUCGUAGAUUUCUUCGAAACGAGAAGAUGAAUAAUUUCGCGAGGUUAUGUAAAAAAAAAAAAAAUUGCUCGAUAUUGUGCAUCAUACGUUCGUAAGAAUGUAAAAACGGAAAUUAGUCCUUGAAAUUAGUUGAGAACGAUUAAACGAAACCGAAAUGGACGAACGGUAGAUUUCACGGUAGAUUUGCUUCGAUUUUUAUACGUAUGUUCAUUGCGUAUCUCUCUCUCUCUCUCUCUCUCUCCGACUUGCUGUUUGUUUCGCUGUCUUUGUUGAUAUUAUGCAAGGUGAGACAUCUUUCACAAAUAUUAACAUCGACCGAGAACGAAUUCGUGGUAUUUAGGUGUUUUUUAUCUAGAUAAGGUGUUAUCUAGACACGAGUGUAAUCGCUGCCCCUUAUCUUGAAAACCAUUUUUAGUCUUUGAUCGAGAAAGAUUUAUACGUUUCUUCGAGCAAUCGGAAGUGUUGUCGUUUAUCUUGCGUGUUUUCCUCGUGGAUACACGAUGAACGAUAAAAAACAAAGAAAGAAAGAAAGAAAGAAAGAAAGAAAGAAAGGUCAGAAAU